CAGCACGGACCGGGAGCUGGCGUGCUGGGACCGGGGUCAGGGAACCGCAGCGCUGCGGGGAUCUGCCCUAGGCGCUGUCAAUGCCCGGUGCCGGGCGCUGCAGACCCCCAGAGCCCGAGCGUGGCGUGCAGGGCUUAGGCCCAGACAGCGGCUACGGUUUCCCCGGGGCAGCGCAGGAAGCGGCAGCGAAUCUCGCCGAGGGCCGGGACCUUCCCCGGGGCUUCUUCCUGCAAGGAGCCCGGCCCGGCCCUUGCCCCGCUCCCGGCAGGGAGAUCCCAGCAACUCCCGGGCGAAUGCCCCCAGCCCUGUUGCUCUCACCGCGCAGUAAAUUGAUGUGAUUAGGUCCUGGCAAGUUGGUAAAGCUCCAAGACUUUGCUGUCUUUCUGCUGUUUAUCUCCUGCUGCCAGCACAGGUGGGAGGAGCUCAGCACAUCUUCCCCGCCCCCCUGGGGAAAAGACUGAGCCUCUGCCCCCGCAGAGGAGAAGGAGCUGGGGGUGCCCCACGCAGGCCGGGCCGCAGCCUUUCCGCUCCAGUGCUGUGCUGAAGACCGUCCGCUUCUAUGAGGAGCUGGACGCCAUCCUCAGUGGCCUCCCCACCUCCACCACCCAGAGCCCCAUGGAUAUUUUGGUGGGACUGGAGGCGGUGGACAAUGGACCUAACCGUGAGGACGAAGUCGUGGCUGAGGAAGUGGACUUGGAGGACAAUGUGGAGCUCAUAGCAGGGUCGUCUGGUGGUGCGGCAAGUCAGGAACUCUCCACUCCGGAGUUGUCUAGUUAUAUGAUGUACAGAUGUGGCCUUAUAGAGAACCCCCUACACCCCGGUAGAGCAUCUAGGCCAUAUAAGGAAGUGACCAAGACCGCACAAGGAGGACAUGUUCCGUGAGGAGCUCCAAUCCGCUCAGGCAGAAAAAAGGGAAAGCAGGGAGUGGAGAGAAAUAGAAAGGCAGGACAGAAAGGAGAGUGUGGAGCAUGUUCAAAAGGCCCAUGAGCAGAUGAUAAAAGUCAUGGAGGAGCAAACAGAUGCUGAAGUCCCUCAUCACGCUACAGUCAGAACAGAUGUGUCCCCCCCACACACACACACACAGCCAAUACAGAACUGUUUUCCAUGCCCUUCCCAAACUUCUCCUACACAUUCCUUCCAAUUUGCCGGAACAUCUCAGUAUCCCAUUCACUCCGCCCUUUUAGACAGCUUCCAAAAUUAUAGCUGGAUUUAUGCACAGCUAUGAAAAUCUCCACUGCCCUGCAAUGCUACCUCCCUUCCCACCUAUCUUUUUGUGUGUUG